GUCUACGGCCAUGCCACUCUGAACAAGCCUGAUCCCAUCUGAUCUUUAAACUAAGCAGGGUCAGAUCUGGUUAGUUAUUGGAUGGGAGACCACCUAGUGGGAUCAUUUUAUAAACU
rnacentral:rRNA from 1 species